AACGAACGCUGGCGGCAUGCCUAACACAUGCAAGUCGAACGAGGCCUUCGGGUCUAGUGGCGCACGGGUGCGUAACGCGUGGGAACCUGCCCUUAGGUUCGGAAUAACUCCCCGAAAGGGGUGCUAAUACCGGAUAAUGUCUUCGGACCAAAGAUUUAUCGCCUUUGGAUGGGCCCGCGUUGGAUUAGCUAGUUGGUAGGGUAAAAGCCUACCAAGGCGACGAUCCAUAGCUGGUCUGAGAGGAUGAUCAGCCACACUGGGACUGAGACACGGCCCAGACUCCUACGGGAGGCAGCAGUGGGGAAUAUUGGACAACGGGCGAAAGCCUGAUCCAGCAAUGCCGCGUGAGUGAUGAAGGCCUUAGGGUUGUAAAGCUCUUUUACCCGGGAUGAUAAUGACAGUACCGGGAGAAUAAGCUCCGGCUAACUCCGUG
rnacentral:rRNA from 1 species